rnacentral:rRNA from 1 species
AGCAGCCGCGGUAAUUCCAGCUCCAAUAGCGUAUAUUAAAGUUGUUGCAGUUAAAAAGCUCGUAGUUGAAUUUCGAGACCGGCUUACUGGUCGUGCUAUUGUGCGUACUGGUAUAAUCGGUUUCUCCUUUCUGACGAACUAUAAUGCCAUUAAUUUGGUGUUAUAGGGAAUCAGGACUGUUACUUUGAAAAAAUUAGAGUGUUUAAAGCAGGCUCACGCUUGAAUACAUUAGCAUGGAAUAACGGAAUAGGACGUUUGAUUCUAUUUUGUUGGUUUCUAGGAUCGACGUAAUGAUUAAUAGGGAUAGUUGGGGGCAUUAGUAUUCAAUUGUCAGAGGUGAAAUUCUUGGAUUUAUUGAAGACUAACUACUGCGAAAGCAUUUGCCAAGGAUGUUUUCAUUAAUCAAGAACGAAAGUUAGGGGAUCGAAGACGAUCAGAUACCGUCGUAGUCUUAACCAUAAACUAUGCCGACUAGGGAUCGGAUGAUGUUAAUUUUUAAUGACUCAUUCGGCGCCUUACG